rfam:Caenorhabditis brenneri strain PB2801 C_brenneri-6.0.1_Cont15.38, whole genome shotgun sequence.
AAGCACGUCAAAGUGGCGCGUGUUAUGUCGGAAAUAUGAAAAGGAUCAUAUCACAGCCAGCUUUGAUGUGCUUGA